AUACGGAGGAUGCGAGCGUUAUCCGGAUUUAUUGGGUUUAAAGGGUGCGCAGGCGGCGAGUCAAGUCAGCGGUCAAACUGCGGCGCUCAACGCCGUACCGCCGUUGAAACUGGCGCGCUCGAGUUUGUGCGAGGAUGGCGGAAUGCGCAGUGUAGCGGUGAAAUGCAUAGAUAUUGCGCAGAACUCCGAUUGCGAAGGCAGCUGUCCAGCACACUACUGACGCUCAUGCACGAAAGCGUGGGUAUCAAACAGGAUUAGAUACCCUGGUAGUCCACGCGGUAAACGAUGAUAACUAGUUAUCCGUUCCGAUUGGGGAAUGGGUGACCGAGCGAAAGCGUUAAGUUAUCCACCUGGGGAGUACGCCGGCAACGGUGAAACUCAAAGGAAUUGACGGGG
rnacentral:rRNA from 1 species